rnacentral:rRNA from 1 species
UACGUAGGGUGCAAGCGUUAAUCGGAAUUACUGGGCGUAAAGCGUGCGCAGGCGGUUUGGUAAGACAGAUGUGAAAGCCCCGGGCUCAACCUGGGAAUUGCAUUCGAGACUGAAUAGCUAGGGUACGGUAGAGGGAAGCGGAAUUUCCGGUGUAGCGGUGAAAUGCGUAGAUAUCGGAAGGAACAUCAGUGGCGAAAGCGGCUUCCUGGACCAGUACCGACGUCAGGCACGAAAGCGUGGGGAGCAAACAGGA